AAAACGGCCCUUUUUAGGGCCACGACAUUUUGAAAGAUCAAUACUUU
rfam:Tropilaelaps mercedesae isolate Wuxi-XJTLT scaffold0000024811, whole genome shotgun sequence.